rnacentral:rRNA from 1 species
AUUGAACGCUGGCGGCAGGCCUAACACAUGCGAGUCGAGCGGAUGAAGGGAGCUUGCUCCUGGAUUCAGCGGCGGACGGGUGAGUAAUGCCUAGGAAUCUGCCUGGUAGUGGGGGAUAACGUCCGGAAACGGGCGCUAAUACCGCAUACGUCCUGAGGGAGAAAGUGGGGGAUCUUCGGACCUCACGCUAUCAGAUGAGCCUAGGUCGGAUUAGCUAGUUGGUGGGGUAAAGGCCUACCAAGGCGACGAUCCGUAACUGGUCUGAGAGGAUGAUCAGUCACACUGGAACUGAGACACGGUCCAGACUCCUACGGGAGGCAGCAGUGGGGAAUAUUGGACAAUGGGCGAAAGCCUGAUCCAGCCAUGCCGCGUGUGUGAAGAAGGCCUUCGGAUUGUAAAGCACUUUAAGUUGGGAGGAAGGGCAGUAAGUUAAUACCUUGCUGUUUUGACGUUACCAACAGAAUAAGCACCGGCUAACUUCGUG